rnacentral:rRNA from 1 species
GAUGAACGCUGGCGGCGUGCCUAAUACAUGCAAGUCGAGCGAACGGACGAGAAGCUUGCUUCUCUGAUGUUAGCGGCGGACGGGUGAGUAACACGUGGAUAACCUACCUAUAAGACUGGGAUAACUUCGGGAAACCGGAGCUAAUACCGGAUGAUAUUUUGAACCGCAUGGUUCAAAAGUGAAAGACGGUCUUGCUGUCACUUAUAGAUGGAUCCGCGCUGCAUUAGCUAGUUGGUAAGGUAACGGCUUACCAAGGCAACGAUGCAUAGCCGACCUGAGAGGGUGAUCGGCCACACUGGAACUGAGACACGGUCCAGACUCCUACGGGAGGCAGCAGUAGGGAAUCUUCCGCAAUGGGCGAAAGCCUGACGGAGCAACGCCGCGUGAGUGAUGAAGGUCUUCGGAUCGUAAAACUCUGUUAUUAGGGAAGAACAUAUGUGUAAGUAACUGUGCACAUCUUGACGGUACCUAAUCAGAAAGCCACGGCUAACUACGUGCCAGCAGCCGCGGUAAUACGUAGGUGGCAAGCGUUAUCCGGAAUUAUUGGGCGUAAAGCGCGCGUAGGCGGUUUUUUAAGUCUGAUGUGAAAGCCCACGGCUCAACCGUGGAGGGUCAUUGGAAACUGGAAAACUUGAGUGCAGAAGAGGAAAGUGGAAUUCCAUGUGUAGCGGUGAAAUGCGCAGAGAUAUGGAGGAACACCAGUGGCGAAGGCGACUUUCUGGUCUGUAACUGACGCUGAUGUGCGAAAGCGUGGGGAUCAAACAGGAUUAGAUACCCUGGUAGUCCACGCCGUAAACGAUGAGUGCUAAGUGUUAGGGGGUUUCCGCCCCUUAGUGCUGCAGCUAACGCAUUAAGCACUCCGCCUGGGGAGUACGACCGCAAGGUUGAAACUCAAAGGAAUUGACGGGGACCCGCACAAGCGGUGGAGCAUGUGGUUUAAUUCGAAGCAACGCGAAGAACCUUACCAAACCUUGACAUCCUUUGACAACUCUAGAGAUAGAGCCUUCCCCUUCGGGGGACAAAGUGACAGGUGGUGCAUGGUUGUCGUCAGCUCGUGUCGUGAGAUGUUGGGUUAAGUCCCGCAACGAGCGCAACCCUUAAGCUUAGUUGCCAUCAUUAAGUUGGGCACUCUAAGUUGACUGCCGGUGACAAACCGGAGGAAGGUGGGGAUGACGUCAAAUCAUCAUGCCCCUUAUGAUUUGGGCUACACACGUGCUACAAUGGACAAUACAAAGGGCAGCGAAACCGCGAGGUCAAGCAAAUCCCAUAAAGUUGUUCUCAGUUCGGAUUGUAGUCUGCAACUCGACUACAUGAAGCUGGAAUCGCUAGUAAUCGUAGAUCAGCAUGCUACGGUGAAUACGUUCCCGGGUCU